UUAACGGCCGCGGUAUCCUGACCGUGCGAAGGUAGCGUAAUCAUUUGUCUUUUAAAUAGAGACCUGUAUGAAUGGCAUAACGAGGGUUUAACUGUCUCCUUCCCCUAGUCAAUGAAAUUGAUCUGCCCGUGCAGAAGCGGACAUAAAUACAUAAGACGAGAAGACCCUAUGGAGCUUUAGACAAAAGAUCAAACAUGUAAAGAAACCAAGUUAACCAAAAGGAACACAAAGGCCACGAAACCCGACGUAAACUGAUCCAAAUGUCUUCGGUUGGGGCGACCAUGGGGGAGAAAAAAGCCCCCACGAGGAACAGGGACUAAUCCCUAAGCCAAGAGAGACAUCUCUAAGCAACAGAAAAUCUGACCAAAAGUGACCCAGAAUACUAAUUCUGAUCAACGAACCAAGUUACCCUAGGGAUAACAGCGCAAUCCUUUCCCAGAGUCCAUAUCGACGAAAGGGUUUACGACCUCGAUGUUGGAUCAGGACAUCCUAAUGGUGCAGCCGCUAUUAAGGGUUCGUU
rnacentral:rRNA from 1 species